rnacentral:rRNA from 1 species
UGAUCCCUUCGGGGUGACGUUGGUGGAACGAGCGGCGGACGGGUGAGUAACACGUGGGCAACCUGCCUGUAAGAUUGGGAUAACUCGCGGAAACGUGAGCUAAUACCGAAUAAUACUUUUAUUCUCAUGAAUGAAAGUUGAAAGAUGGCUUCUGCUAUCCCCUACCAAUGGGCCCCCCGCGCCAUAACUAGUUGGUAGGGUAAUGGCCUACCAAGGGCACCAAUCCUAACCCAACUGGAAAGGUGAUCCGCCCCCCUGGGACUGAAAACCCGCCCCAAAUCCUACCGGAGGGAGCAGUAAGGAAUCCUCCCCCAUGGACGAAAGUCCGACGGAACAACCCCCCCGGGACCAAGAAGGGCCUCCGAACCUAAAGUUCUGGUGGUAAGGAAGAACAAGUACCGGUCCAAUAAGUCGGUACCUUGGCGGGACCUAACGAGGAAGCCCCCGCUAACUACCUGGCAACAGCCGCCGUAAUACCUAAGGGGCAAGCGUUGUCCGGAAUUAUUGGGCGUAAAGCGCGCCCAAGCGGUUCCUUAAAUCUGAAGUGGAAACCCCCCGCUUAACCGUGGAGGGGCAUUGGAAACUGGGGAACUUGAAUACCGAAGAAGAAAAUGGAAUUCCCCGUGGAGCGGUGAAAUGGGUAAAAAUGUGGAGGAACACCAGUGGCGAAAGCCACUCUCUGGUCUGGAACUGACGCUUAAGCGCCAAAGCCUGGGGAGCGAACAAGAUUAGAU